GAGAGUAUAGUUCAGUAGUAGAGUGCAUGCCUAGCAUGCAUGAGGUCCUGGGUUCAAUCCCAAGUACCUCCA
rnacentral:tRNA from 1 species